CGGCGAGUGAAGAGGGAAAAGCCCAAAUUUGUAAUCUGGCUCUUUUAUAAGGGUCCGAGUUGUAAUUUUGAGAACUGUUUUCUGUGUUGGACCAUGUACAAGUCUGUUGGAAAACAGCAUCAUUGAGGGUGAUAAUCCCGUACAUGAUAUGGACUACCAGUGCAAUAUGAUACAGUCUCUAAGAGUCGAGUUGUUUGGGAAUGCAGCUCAAAGUGGGUGGUAAAUUCCAUCUAAGGCUAAAUAUAGGUGAGAGACCGAUAGCAAACAAGUACCGUGAGGGAAAGAUGAAAAGAACUUUGGAAAGAGAGUUAACAGUACGUGAAAUUGUUAAAAGGGAAACAUUUGAAGUUAGACUUGUUAUUAUUGGUUCAGCUUCUUUUUUUAAUUAGGAGUCUAUUCCAAUGGUUGACAGACCAGCAUCAAUUUUUGAGUGUUAGAUAAGGGUCUUGAGAAUGUGGCAACUUUGGUUGUGUUAUAGCUCUUGGCUUGAUAUAAUGCUUAGGAUUGAGGAACGCAGUGAGCUUUUUAUUAAGUGGAUUCUCUUUUGAAUCUUCAUCACUACGGAUGUUGGUGUAAUAGC
rnacentral:rRNA from 1 species